UACAGAGGGUGCGAGCGUUGUUCGGAAUUACUGGGCGUAAAGCGCGCGCAGGCGGCCCUUUAAGUCUACCCGUGAAAUGCCGGAGCUCAACUCCGUGCACGCCGGGGGAUACUGGAGGGCUGGAGACGAGUAGAGGCAAGCGGAAUUCCGGGUGUAGCGGUGGAAUGCGUAGAGAUCCGGAAGAACACCAGCGGCGAAGGCGGCAUCCUGGACUGGUCCUGACACUCAUGAGCGAAAGCGUGGGGAGCGAUCCGG
rnacentral:rRNA from 1 species